UGCACCUACGGGGGGCAGCAGUGGGGGAUAUUGCACAAUGGGGGGAACCCUGAUGCAGCGACGCCGCGUGGGUGAAGGAGUAUUUCGUUAUGUAAAGCUCUAUCAGCAGGGAAGAAAAUGACGGUACCUGAGUAAGAAGCCCCGGCUAACUACGUGCCAGCAGCCGCGGUAAUACGUAGGGGGCAAGCGUUAUCCGGAUUUACUGGGUGUAAAGGGAGCGUAGACGGCAGUGCAAGUCUGGAGUGAAAGGCGGGGGCUCAACCCCCGGACUG
rnacentral:rRNA from 1 species